AUGUGCACAGGUCACAGAGUGGUGGAGGCUGACGGCCCGGAGGAGGUAAAUGACAAGAUCAUAUUGGGCGCACAUGCACCUGACAUUUUGAGGGUGCUAGGAGACGAAGAAACACACGAGGAGUUGAGGAUUCUGGGUGCUUUCCAAUAUGUCCAGAGCGGCAUGUACCUACAUUGUGACGAAAGCCUUAUGCCAUGGAAUCCGUCGGCAUGGAGCACCUGCAACUUCCUGGGAACAACCAGCACUAGAGAGUUGCACUGCUUUAAUUCGGCGGCUUGGUUGUCGAGAUUGUCUUACUUACAUGAGUGUUGA
rnacentral:rRNA from 1 species